rnacentral:rRNA from 1 species
CCUACGGGUGGCAGCAGUGAGGAAUAUUGGUCAAUGGGCGAGAGCCUGAACCAGCCAAGUAGCGUGCAGGAUGACGGCCCUACGGGUUGUAAACUUCUUUUGUACGGGAAUAACGCGCCUUACGUGUAGGGCUUUGCAUAUCCCGUAUGAAUAAGUACCGGCUAAUUCCGUGCCCGCAGCCGCGGUAAUACGGAAGGUGCGGGCGUUAUCCGGAUUUCUUGGGGUUAAAGGGAGCGUAGGGCGGUUGUUAAGCGUGCUGGGAAAUGUUCGGGCGCAAGCCGGGCCUUGCAGGGGGAACUGGAGUGCUUGAGUUGGCGGAAAGGAGGCGGAAUGCGUGGUGUAGCGGGGAAA